GCUGGGAUAGCUCAGUUGGUAAAGCCCAAGACUCUUAAUCUAGGGGUCGUGGAUUUGAGCCCCACAUCCGGCA